rnacentral:ncRNA from 2 species
GAACCCGAGGAGCGCUGCGAGGCAUUUCGAUCUUUGCCCUAGGCUCGGGUUCACCUUUGAAACGGCGCUCGCUUAUC